rnacentral:misc_RNA from 1 species
GAUGGAAGAACGCAGCGAAAUGCGAUAAGUAGUGUGAAUUGCAGAAUUCAGUGAAUCAUCGAAUCUUUGAACGCACAUUGCGCUCCCUGGUAUUCCGGGGAGCAUGCCCGUUUCAGAAUCACGUUCUCAAACUCUCGCCGGACCCACCGUGUUUCUCAACACGGUGGGAGAAGGUAGGGUGCUGGACAGAUUGAGCUUCACAGCCCAAUUGUCUGAAAGUCAUUGUCCAAACGGCCGCUGUGGUUUGCGUCCCACGGUCAAAGUGCAACAGAUGCGUGUUGUCUCUUCCCUUUGCGGUGGGAUGGCGCCCCGGUCAGUUAGGAUCAGGCCCCCUGUACGGCGGGAUUGCUUUGACGCAGUUCCGCCGAUGACAUGGUCUGAAAUCGGGCAAGAGAACCCGCUGAACUUAAGCAUAUCAAUAAGCGGAGGA